rnacentral:rRNA from 1 species
UACGUAGGGGGCAAGCGUUGUCCGGAAUCAUUGGGCGUAAAGCGCGUGUAGGCGGCCUUGUAAGUCCGUUCUGAAAGCCCGGGGCUCAACCCCGGGAGGCGGAUGGAUACUGCAAGGCUCGAGUACGGAAGAGGCGAGUGGAAUUCCCGGUGCAGCGGUGAAAUGCGCAGAUAUCAGGAAGAACACCCGUGGCUAAGGCGGCUCUCUAGUACGGUACUGACGCUGAGACGCGAAAGCGUGGGGAGCGAACAGG